rnacentral:lncRNA from 1 species
UACUAUGGAGGAUUCCUCCUCAAAGCGUGUUCUAGGCUUUGAUGGGAGAAAGGAUGCCAAGAUCCUUUGAAGGACUGCGUGCUUCGCCAUCUUAUGGGGUGUUUUAACAGUGUAAAGAAAAAAAAAUCACUGAUUUCUUUCUACGCGUCCUUGUAGGUUUCUGCAAUCUCGCAAGAUUUCUAUAAACUGUUUAUUGAUUUAUAUAUGGACUCGAGCUUCUUAUUACUUGUGUAUGUAGUCUUUCCAUUUCGUUCCUUUCGGAAGACCUAUUGUCCUUCCUUAGUUUUGUAGUCUUUUACUUAUAAGUUUCAUUGUUCGAAAUAGCGCUCGAGGUGUGUGCCUCGUAGCGAGGCGGAAGGAAGCAGAAGCGAGGCGUGCGCUUAUUAUGGAACUGAAGAGACUUGCGCCUUUUUCGGUUGAGGCUUACGCCUCGUCGCGAAGCGCCUCAAGGCGUCGCAAGGCCUGCGCCUCGAUUUGGCUUUAAAAAAAAACCUAAGUAUCAGGUUUGGCUUAAUAUCAGAUUUGGCUUCAUCGACUUCUUCAUGGUUCUGCGACUGCUUCAACCUUCACCAGGUAGUACUUUUUCUUCUUCUUUUUCUUUUCUUCCUCUGUCGUCGUCUCUGUUUUCCUCUUCUGUCGUCCUUCCUAAUCUCUGUUUUCUUCUUUUGAGUUUAGUCCUCUGUUAUAGUGUAGUCUUCUUCUGUUAGACUGUUACAGUGUAGUCCUCUGGUUUUUUUUUUUUCAAACAAUGUAGUCCUCUGUUAGUCUGUUUUCCCUUCCAUUCAGCUGGUUAAGUUUUUUUUUUCGUUGACUGCAGGUGCUUGACUGCUUGUAACAAUUUUUGUUACAGAACAAUUUUUGUUGUAUUGAUUUUUUUUUUGUGCUUGACUGCUCUGUUUGUGUUUUCAUUAAUUUCUUUUUGAACAAAGAUAGCAUAUGAUAAUUUCAUAUUUCCAUUUGGUUUUUUAGACUGUCAAUAAUAAUAUUAUUAUUUGUGUACAUGAAUUGCUAAUGUCGCCAAAAUAAAUUUAAUUGGGUUAAUUAGAAUUGGCA